rnacentral:lncRNA from 12 species
GUGGGGGUGCGAGGACGCGAGCAGGUGUGGUCCUGAGGGUUUCUGCUGGAACUGCAAGGAAGGAGGAGCCGCUCCUGGGCUGUCCUGGGAGCAGAGGCCGCGGCCGCCGCACGCACAGGGCUGACACCGAGGACAGAACAAGUCCCUUGGAGCUCCCGACCUUCUAGUUGCCGGAGCCCAUGAAUCUCCCCUCUUUUUCUCUCUUUUUAUUCCCUCCUUAGCCACUCUGAGUUGUGUUUCCUGUCACUUGCAACCCGAAGAGUCCUGGCCAGUGACGGGAGAGAAGCAGAGAGACUUUUUUUUUUUUUAAUGCAAAAAGUAGCAGAUGACACGAUGCGGUAUAUUCAUGCCUCAUGGCAGGCCGUGCGUGAGUCGGUUAGCGAGUGUCCCACGUGUCAGCGUCUCUAGGGAGUACAUCCAGAAGUGCCAGCUGUGCACUCCCACCACCACGCCUGAGGGGUUCCUUACAUCUUCUCCAACACUUGGUAUUACGUGUUCGUUUUUUUUUCUUAUCUCAUGGGUGUGAAAUAGUAGCUUGAGGUUGGUUUAAUGGCUCUCUCCCCAACUGCUAGAAGCCUCAUGUGCCUUUUCUGGCAAUUUUUAACCCGCCCCAUCCUCACAUCGGCCUCCUCCCUCCCGAGAUUGGGCUCCCGUAGGAGGCACAGCUCCUGUGGUUUUCGGGCAAAUAACUCAGCCUCCGUGUCCUUAUCUGCAAAAUGGGCAAAGUAAUGGCUAAUCCGUGAGUUUAGAUAAUGCAGACCAGCUUUUUUUUGUUUGUUUGUUUUUUGUUUUUUCAGACCAGCUUUCAGCUUCGUGGGGUCCAAAGCAGAUGAGCAGACCAGUCUGUCUUCCUCCUGCAAGCAAUCAGGCCUGGGGUGACGCUUUCAUUUUUGUCGAAAGGGGGUUCCCCAACGGCCCGGCCUUAUCUCUGCUCUGCAAGGCCUCCCAGGCCCGAAAAAAGCAGAAAAACUCUGCUUCAUUCAAGACAGGAGAGAACCAUCGAGGUGACUUGCCUGAAUUUCCCUGGAAAGUUUCCCCGGGGAACAUCCUGAAGCAAUUUGUCAGCCAUCAAGGCGCCAUCAAGUCACCUGAACUUUUCGGUUACCCAAAAAGCGGUAUUGAAUCACCUUCAAAGGAACCCAUUUCAAAGGUACAGUUUGAUGAGUUUUGGCAAAUAUCCACACUCGUCUAAGCAGACUCACGUCUUCCAAAAUGCAUGAUUUCUGUGGGAUUUGAUCCUAUUAGUUGAAAACACAAAAUUGCAGCUCUUUCCAAUUAGUGAGCGAAAUCACUGACCCACACGGGGUGGGGGACGGGCAUUUGCUGGCUGGAUUUUAAGAGAAACCUUUGCGUAGUUGGUAGACGGGGUGGAAAGUGAGCACGUGACCUAGUGAUGCCUGCUGCCCAUUUGGACCCACCUGUACCUCUCAGGUGCCUUUUUCAGUUGUCGAAGUCAUUAAACCAAGUAUCAAGAACCAGGCUUCGGAGCUGCUGCCUCGCAAAGUGUUAAUCAAGAUUUUCAAAAAUAAUGAAGCACAUUUAAUCACAUUGCCACUCACGAAGAACAUCAUAAUUAAUAUUUGGGUGAGAGCAAAAAGAUUAUGUUGUUAAUAAAUAAGUUAUUUUAAAUAUUGUUUAUCUCUGU